rnacentral:rRNA from 1 species
AUUGAACGCUGGCGGCAGGCCUAACACAUGCAAGUCAAGCGAGAGGCGGACGGGUGAGUAAUGUAUGGGGACUGCCCGAUAGAGGGGGAUAAAUACUGGAAACGGUUGCUAAUACCGCAUACUGUCGGAUAACCCAUAUGGGUUUAGCUGGUAGGUAAGGUAAUGGCUUACCUAGGCGACGAUCCCUAGCUGGUCGUAGAGGAUGAUAAGCCACACGGGGACUUGGACACGGCCCAGAUUCCUACGGUGGCAGCAGUGGGGAAUAUGGCACAAUGGGCGAAAUCCUGAUGAAGCCAUGCCGCGGGGAUGAAGAAGUCCCUAGGGUGGUAAAGUACUUUCAGUCUGGAAGCGUGACCGACAGAAGAAGCACCGGCUAACUCCGUGCCAGCAGCCGCGGUAAUAC